UUUUUUUAAUCCAAAUGUAUCUUC
rnacentral:sRNA from 1 species